rnacentral:lncRNA from 1 species
GAAUGCACAUACUAGCUCUCCAGGAAGAUACGUCCCUCGAGGGCUUACCUCCACCCCUCGGCACUAGGAGAUGGGCCUCCCCAUUCUGUGGAUAAGGAAACCACGGCUCAGGUGAAGCUGUAAAAAGCAAAAAAAGGAGAAGAAGGAAAAGAAAAAAUGGCAUCUCAGAUGGGCCACUGGAACAUUUGGAGACGUGCAGACGGGCACUGGUGAAAUGAGCAGCACGAGAAAAGGAGUAAAGCAAAUGCUGGUGGGAGCCCAUGAGAAACAGGCUGGUCGUGAGCCCCAGAACCCCCAUGAGGAGUUAAACCAGGCCUGGCUCUGCAGCGCACAUGGGAGGAGAAGAGAAAAGGAAGUGGAAGAAAACAAAGACAUCUCACCCACUCAGUGCUGUCUCUGUAACCAGGGUGUGUAUUUAACAAAGCUCAGAGAGUUCCCAAGUGGCAGAGGGGUUAAGGAUCUGGCAUUGUCACUGCUGUGGCUCGGGUCACCGCUGUGGCUCAGGUUAGAUCCCUGGCCCGGGAACUUCCCCCUGAGUGGCCAAGAAAACAAACCAAAAACUAAGCUCAUUCCAUCCCAGAUCCUUUCUGCUUAAAGUGCUCUCAUGUG